GAUGAAGAACGUAGCGAAAUGCGAUAAGUAAUGUGAAUUGCAGAAUUCAGUGAAUCAUCGAAUCUUUGAACGCACAUUGCGCCCCUUGGUAUUCCGAGGGGCAUGCCUGUUCGAGCGUCAUUAUAACCCCUCAAGCUCAGCUUGGUGCUGGGGCCUGCUGCACUGGCAGCCCUUAAAAUCAGUGGCGGCGCCAUCUGGCUCUAAGCGUAGUAAUUCUUCUCGCUAUGGAGUCCUGGUGGAUGCUUGCCAUCAACCCCCAAUUUUUCUAUGGUUGACCUCGGAUCAGGUAGGGAUACCCGCUGAACUUAAGCAUAUCAAUAAGCGGAGGA
rnacentral:misc_RNA from 1 species